UGCAGUCGAGCGAAUGACGAGGAGCUUGCUCCUCUGAUUUAGCGGCGGACGGGUGAGUAACACGUGGGUAACCUGCCUGUAAGACGGGGAUAACUUCGGGAAACCGAAGCUAAUACCGGAUAAUAAAGAGAAACUCCUGUUUCUUUUUUGAAAGUCGGUUUCGGCUGACGCUUACAGAUGGGCCCGCGGCGCAUUAGCUAGUUGGUGAGGUAACGGCUCACCAAGGCCACGAUGCGUAGCCGACCUGAGAGGGUGAUCGGCCACACUGGGACUGAGACACGGCCCAGACUCCUACGGGAGGCAGCAGUAGGGAAUCUUCGGCAAUGGACGAAAGUCUGACCGAGCAACGCCGCGUGAGCGAUGAAGGCCUUCGGGUCGUAAAGCUCUGUUGUCAGAGAAGAACAAGUACCGGAGUAACUGCCGGUACCUUGACGGUACCUGACCAGAAAGCCACGGCUAACUACGUGCCAGCAGCCGCGGUAAUACGUAGGUGGCAAGCGUUAUCCGGAAUUAUUGGGCGUAAAGCGCGCGCAGGCGGUUCCUUAAGUCUGAUGUGAAAGCCCACGGCUCAACCGUGGAGGGUCAUUGGAAACUGGGGAACUUGAGUGCAGGAGAGAAAAGUGGAAUUCCACGUGUAGCGGUGAAAUGCGUAGAGAUGUGGAGGAACACCAGUGGCGAAGGCGGCUUUUUGGCCUGUAACUGACGCUGAGGCGCGAAAG
rnacentral:rRNA from 1 species